rnacentral:lncRNA from 1 species
CUGAGUUAGUGUUUCUGGCCUGUUUUUUCCUUUGUUUCAAGAACAUGUUCCUUGGACCCAUUCAAGCCUGCUGUGGCACACUGAGAAGAGUUUGUGCCUGGACCAGAGGAAAACACAGAGGAGAGGUACAUGGGGGACAGGGACACACAACCCCUUGAUUAUUUGAUUCCUCUCCUUGAAUGGAGGAGACAGAGUUCUCAAAGGACCAGAGGCAGCAGUAUUCCAAAGGGCAGAGCUAAGGUCAAGUACAGAGAAGGAAGGGGACAUUCAAGGCAAGAAGGCAGAGGGUCACAAAUGGAAGAAAGCAGCAACUGGCUGAGAAGUGGGGACUAGGAAGCAAGAGGAAAAAGACUUCAACCUGGAGGCUGGCGAGCCCUGCCAAAGAGCCUGAACCUGUUCUGACUGCUGCCUCUUCCCUGAAGCUAGGCAAGAUUUUCAGGUGUAAAUGCCCAGGGCCUGGUUGCACCCCAGUUUGGCUCUGCUAAAGGUGAAGGCUGGCUCACUUAUGUCUGAGACAUUGGUCUGAGCCCACAUGGCCACAGCAUGAGAAGAGUGGUCCAUGUGGGCUGGGAAGCCCUAUGUGUCCUGGA